rnacentral:rRNA from 1 species
UACGAAGGUGGCAAGCGUUGUUCGGAAUCACUGGGCUUAAAGCGCGCGUAGGCGGAAUAGAUAGUGUCUUGUGAAAGCCCCCGGCUUAACCGGGGAAUUGCGAGGCAAACUGCUAUUCUUGAGGCAAGUAGGGGUACAUGGAACUCUUGGUGGAGCGGUGGAAUGCGUAGAUAUCAAGAGGAACGCCAAAGGUGAAGACAGUGUACUGGGCUUGUCCUGACGCUGAGGUGCGAAAGCGUGGGGAGCGAAAGGGAUUAGAUACCCCCGUA